rnacentral:rRNA from 1 species
UUAAGUCCCGCAACGAGCGCAACCCUUAUUGCUAGUUACCAUCAUUGAGUUGGGGACUCUAGCGAGACUGCCAGCGAUAAGCUGGAGGAAGGUGGGGAUGACGUCAAAUCAUCAUGCCCCUUAUGACCUGGGCUACAAACGUGAUACAAUGGCUGGAACAAAGGGAGGCGAAGGGGUGACCUGGAGCGAAACCCAAAAAUACAGUCUCAGUUCGGAUUGAAGUCUGCAACUCGACUUCAUGAAGUCGGAAUCGCUAGUAAUCGCGGAUCAGAACGCCGCGGUGAAUACGUUCUCGGGGUUU